rnacentral:rRNA from 1 species
GACGAACGCUGGCGGCGUGCUUAACACAUGCAAGUCGAACGGUAAGGCCCUUCGGGGUACACGAGUGGCGAACGGGUAAGUAACACGUGGGUGAUCUGCCCUGCACUUCGGGAUAAGCCUGGGAAACUGGGUCUAAUACCGGAUAGGACCCUGGGAUGCAUGUCCUGGGGUGGAAAGCUUUUGCGGUGUGGGAUGGGCCCGCGGCCUAUCAGCUUGUUGGUGGGGUGAUGGCCUACCAAGGCGACGACGGGUAGCCGGCCUGAGAGGGUGAGCGGCCACACUGGGACUGAGAUACGGCCCAGACGCCUACGGGAGGCAGCAGUGGGGAAUAUUGCACAAUGGGCGCAAGCCUGAUGCAGCGACGCCGCGUGAGGGAUGACGGCCUUCGGGUUGUAAACCUCUUUCAGCACCGACGAAGCGCAAGUGACGGUAGGUGCAGAAGAAGGACCGGCCAACUACGUGCCAGCCGCCGCCGUAA